rnacentral:lncRNA from 1 species
AUGCCUUUGAAAUGAAGCUGUGUCUUCAAUAACUGAAAAUGCUCUGCCUGCGUUACCGUAACAUGUAGCCACGGUGUUUCCUAGAUAACAGUCCCCCUUUCUGGAAUCCUGAGUGGCUCCCAUGGUACUGCUAUCAGUUUUACUUCUCCAACAUAAAUCAAGGAUUUGCUUCAGUUUUAGGUUCAAGAUCUUAAAAACAGUUAGUUGUGCAAAGUCCAGGACUGAUAUAAAAAGAUGACAUUUUUUGAAGAUGCAUGGACCGAAGCUGUAUAUUUAGUUGGUAUGCACAUUUUCAAAGUCUUGGGAGAACAUCAUUAAGGAAUCACCCCAGAUUAAAUUAGUUCUGAUGAAUUAUUUAAACAUCAACAAAUGAUGUAGUAUAUGAGUACAGGGCCCAGGGGCUGUGACAUAAUUUGUUAAGCAAAGUAACCCUUCGCUGGGUCCAGUGUGAACAUCAUUACAUAUGUAUUUGACAAUACAGUAGUCAAUCCUUCCACUUCUCCCCCUGUUAAUAAUAUUGGCAGAUUGUAGUAGUCGUUAUAUAGAAGUACUGCACAGAGGGAAAAUGUAUCUGUACAAGGCUCUGUUCCCUCCCUGUUUACUGCAGCAGUUGAGAAAGGGGAAAGAAAAAGAAAAGUCAGUUACGUUCUUUUCAGACUAUUUUCCAUCUUGAUUAAUUUCAGUGUAGAGUGAUAAGCUAAGUUUAGUGUCCUGGCUACAGUAGUUCUAGUGGAUGCUAAAGUCAGCUUAACUGUAGUGUUUGAACUGUAGUUUGAACUAGAGGAACACUUCACUUUGUUGUGAGUGCUGGAUACUGGCAUGUAGGCUGGCUGUAGCUUUGCUCUGUGGUGUGUUUUCCCCUCUAGCUUCAGAAGAAACAGCAAAACAAACUUCCCUGUAGCCUUUUGGGGAAAUAAAUUAUACAUGUGGAAAAAUGAUCGUCUGUGG